rnacentral:rRNA from 1 species
CAAUAGCGUAUAUUAAAGUUGUUGCGGUUAAAAGCUCGUAGUUGGAUUUCUGUUGAGAGCAGCCGGUCCACCCUUUUGGGUGAGUAUCUGGAUUGGUCUCGGCAUCCUCACAACGAAUGUUUCUGCGCUUGAUUGCGUGGUAUAGGCGUUGUGACUUUUUACUUUGAGGAAAUUAGAGUGUUCAACGGCAGGCAUACGCCUUGAAUAUAUUAGCAUGGAAUAAUAUUAUAGGAUUUCGGUUCUAUUUUGUUGGUUUCUAGAGUCUGAAAAUUAAUGAUUAAUAGGGGACAAUUGGGGCAUUCGGUAUUGACGAGUCAGAGGUGAAAUUCUUGGAUUUCG